rnacentral:tRNA from 1 species
AGGCGAUUAGCUCAAAUGGUAGAGCGCUCGCUUAGCAUGUGAGAGGUAGCAGGAUCGAUACCCGCAUUCUCCA